GACGAACGCUGGCGGCGUGCUUAACACAUGCAAGUCGAACGGAAAGGCCCUGCUUUUGUGGGGUGCUCGAGUGGCGAACGGGUGAGUAACACGUGAGUAACCUGCCCUUGACUUUGGGAUAACUUCAGGAAACUGGGGCUAAUACCGGAUAGGCGCUCCUGCUGCAUGGUGGGGGGUGGAAAUUUUCGGCGGUUGGGGGUGGACUCGCGGCUUAUCAGCUUGUUGGUGGGGUAGUGGCUUACCAAGGCUUUGACGGGUAGCCGGCCUGAGAGGGUGACCGGCCACAUUGGGACUGAGAUACGGCCCAGACUCCUACGGGAGGCAGCAGUGGGGAAUAUUGCACAAUGGGCGGAAGCCUGAUGCAGCAACGCCGCGUGCGGGAUGACGGCCUUCGGGUUGUAAACCGCUUUCGCCUGUGACGAAGCGUGAGUGACGGUAAUGGGUAAAGAAGCACCGGCUAACUACGUG
rnacentral:rRNA from 1 species